rnacentral:lncRNA from 1 species
GCACUUCCGGGGCCCGCGUCCCCCGGCGGCUUCGCCGAGAAGGGGCUUUGGGAGCUUAAGGGCGCCGGCACGCGUUCCCCUGGCGCAGAGCUCGCUAGCCGGGGCGCGGGCUGCCUCCUUGUUCUGGUGUGAUCCGAAUGUAACGGAGCGGACUUUGGGAUCCAGAACCCCGGACUGAGUGGAGCCUGGCUGUUCUGGUGAAGUCACUGUGGGCUAGUAGAUUGAGAAUGAGUUCAUAGUCACACUUGAGUUCAAAUCUGAACUACAUCAUAGGUGAGCUGUGUGUCCUUGGAUUUAUAACCUCAAUUUGCAUACUGAGGAGAAGUUUAAGGAUCUCUGCAUCAAAGAGUUAUUGUGAAGGCAAAAAAGGGCUGCAGUUCCUGAUACUGGUUUUUCUACAUGCUUCAGCCAAAGACAUAUACUCUUUGAUCCCUGAGAACACUAUUUCCUCAGUGUCUUUGCACAUGGAGUUCACUUCUCUGCUUGUGAAGUCUAUGAAUAUUGCAUGGCUGAUUUGUCACAAUUUUAAGUCUUCAACAUCUGGAGUGUUCUGGCAAGAAUUUGUAGGAAAAAUUUUUGAAUCAUCAGAUUACCAUAGCACAACCUUGGAGAAUAAAACUCUUUUGCUCUGAAGCUCAUCUAAUAACCUGAUAUCUCUCAAAUGAAUCUAUCCAAUGACAGGGAAUACCCCAUGUUAAACAGCUGAUUCUUGUUCUGAAUACGUUUAUUAUCUUGUAGUUAGUAAAUAAAUCAAUUGGACCCUUAA